rnacentral:lncRNA from 1 species
UGGAAAACACGGCACCCUAUCCCUUCCCUGACGGGAACCUGGAUACCAUAGCAUAGGAACCCCCCCUUCCCUGACGGGAACCUGGGUACCAUAGCUAGGAACCUCGAAAAUACGUAUUAUAGGUUGGUUGUAUACACACUCAUCCUUUAAGAAGAUAAGAGAGCCCCGCGGACAUUUCCUUCCUCGAAACCAGGAAACUGAUACUGCCUCGAUUCUGCUUCCGUCUAUCAUGUCCAAUCUUACUUUCGUGCCGAUGAAGGGUAGUCCGGAAGGUGGAGUUAGCACCGGGGCUAUUCUUAGAAGCUGAAGUAGGAGUAGGAGCACUCUUCUUCCUCAAGCGUAGCCGUAUUAGUUGGAUCCGGCAUCCUUUUCGACUGGAGAUACCCUCGCAUUACCGGCUUCCCGGCAUACUGGCAAGUUUACUUGACUCACCCAUUCUUGAGACUGGCCUGGCCACUACUUUGUUUGAUUUCCUUGUCACUGUAGUAAGAAAGCGGCACCUAUUGACCAACUUCCCUCUAGCAUCACUCAUCCUUACGGCACUAGUCCAUCCAUCCCUCGACCGAAGAGAGUCUUCCUCCUCA